GGGACCCACCCGAGGUGUCUGCCUAAACUGUGUAGCAGAGACUUCCUUGGCCACAUCUCCCUGCGGACAUGAGGAUGGGGUAUGAACAGACAGGGGCAAGAGUACAUCAUGAGGAAUGCUGGGCUGGAUGAAGCACAAGCUGGAAUCAAGAUUGCAGGGAGAAAUAUCAAUAACCUCAGAUAUGCAGAUGACACCACCCUUAUGGCAGAAACCAAAGAAAAACUGAAGAGCCUCUUGAUGAAAGUGAAAGAGGAGAGUGAAAUAGUUGGCUUAAAACUCAGCAUUCAGAAAGCUAAGAUCAUGGCAUCUGGUCCCAUCACUUCAUGGCAAAUAGAUGAGGAAACAAUGGAAACAGUGAGAAACUUUAUUUUCUUGGGCUGCAGAAUCACUGCAGAUGGUAACUGCAGCCAUGAAAUUAAAAGAUGCUUGCUCCUUGGAAGAAAAGUUAUGACCAACCUAGACAGCAUAUUAAAAAGCAGAGACAUUACUUUGCCAGCAAAGGUCCAGGCUAGUCAAGGCUGUGGUUUUUCCAGUAGUCAUGUAUGGAUGUGAGAGUUGGACUAUAAAGAAAGCUGAGCACUGAAGAACUGAUGCUUUUGAACUGUGGUGUUGGAGAAGACUUUUGAGAGUCCCUUGGACUUCAGGGAAAUCCAACCAGUCAAUCCUAAAGGAAAUCUGUCCUGAAUAUUGAUUGGGAGGACUGAUGUUGAAGCUGAAACUCCAGUACUUUGGCCAUCUGAUGUGAAGAACUGACUCAUUUGAAAAGACACUGGUGCUGGGAAAGAUUGAAGGCAAGAGGAGAAGGGGACGACAGAGGAUGAGAUGGUUGGAUAGCAUCACCAACUCUAUGGACAUGAGUUUGAAUAAGCUCCAGGAAUUGGUGAUGGACAGGGAAGCCUGGCAUGCUGCAGUCCAUGGAGUCGCCAAGAGUCAGACACGACUGAGAGACUGAACUGAAGCUUUUUAAGUUAGGACCUAGGGUAGCUUUUGCUCUAGUACUAGUUUAAUCCUACUAGUAAGAUGUACCUUUUUUGGAAUUUCACCUGAAUGCUUCAGGUAUUCAACAAGAUCUUUUCAUUUUGUCCCAUCUGAACUAUAAUAAAAUAUCUUCCAACCCUGUG